GCUGGAUUCUUGCACCCCUUGCAAAUCUGCCAUCCCAAGCAACUGCUUGCUUUGCUGGUGCCUAGAGUCAGCCCUGCUCAUCAAAGGCAUACUGUUUUGUAAAAAAUACCGAAAGCUAAUGCUCUUCGAAUGUCUAGCGUGUGGAGGGAAGCCUCCCUCCCGUCAGCAUGUGGCUUCAGGAAAAUACAGGUACAUAUAUGCCCAGGGUUUUUAAGGUCGCCCUUGAGUCCUUUAAGGUGUGUAGAGAGACUUUGGUUUUGUCUGUGAAUAAUUUUUGCCCUUCAAAGGGUAAGUCCUCAACAGUUGCUUGGACUUCCCUUGGGAACCCAGAAAGGUGGAGCUAGGAUACACGGUGCACGACCACAGAUGUAUCGAUGGACCAUGCUGCCGUGUCUGCAGAGUCAAGAAAGGCCUGUACGGCCGUCCUGGUGAUGAGAGACUCUUCAGAAAUGUCAUCAGGUUUAUUUUUUGUCAUCAAGUUAACUUUCAAUAAAUUCUGACAUUUUUGCAAACAGAUUGUGCAUGUAUUUUGGUUGUGGGGCUGCGUAAU